AGGGAAACCGAGUCUUAACCGGGCGUUAAGUUGCAGGGUAUAGACCCGAAACCCGGUGAUCUAGCCAUGGGCAGGUUGAAGGUUGGGUAACACUAACUGGAGGACCGAACCGACUAAUGUUGAAAAAUUAGCGGAUGACCUGUGGCUGGGGGUGAAAGGCCAAUCAAACCGGGAGAUAGCUGGUUCUCCCCGAAAGCUAUUUAGGUAGCGCCUCGUGAAUUCAUCUCCGGGGGUAGAGCACUGUUUCGGCUAGGGGGCCAUCCCGGCUUACCAACCCGAUGCAAACUGCGAAUACCGGAGAAUGUUAUCACGGGAGACACACGGCGGGUGCUAACGUCCGUCGUGAAGAGGGAAACAACCCAGACCGCCAGCUAAGGUCCCAAAGUCAUGGUUAAGUGGGAAACGAUGUGGGAAGGCCCAGACAGCCAGGAUGUUGGCUUAGAAGCAGCCAUCAUUUAAAGAAAGCGUAAUAGCUCACUGGUCGAGUCGGCCUGCGCGGAAGAUGUAACGGGGCUAAACCAUGCACCGAAGCUGCGGCAGCGACGCUGAUGCGUUGUUGGGUAGGGGAGCGUUCUGUAAGCCUGUGAAGGUGUGUCGUGAGGCAUGCUGGAGGUAUCAGAAGUGCGAAUGCUGACAUAAGUAACGAUAAAGCGGGUGAAAAGCCCGCUCGCCGGAAGACCAAGGGUUCCUGUCCAACGUUAAUCGGGGCAGGGUGAGUCGACCCCUAAGGCGAGGCCGAAAGGCGUAGUCGAUGGGAAACGGGUUAAUAUUCCCGUACUUGGUGUUACUGCGAAGGGGGGACGGAGAAGGCUAUGUUGGCCGGGCGACGGUUGUCCCGGUUUAAGCGUGUAGGUGUGUGU
rnacentral:rRNA from 1 species